GAUGCGCGAGUUGAUGUCAUGAUGUCAGCGUUUUCAUAAAGCUCCGUUUUUCUUGUGCACACGAAGACAGAGGAACCGGAGUUUUGAAAAAUCUCCACCUUGGAAGGCGUUUUCAAAAAGCUUUGUUUUCAGUGACCUAAAACGCCGUUUUCGUGUGGACGGGAGGCCAUUUCAUUAUUGGGAGAAGUUUGCGCCAUCUUUCCACAAUCUCCGGUGGAUAGUGCUCAUUCACUGAGUAAGGCUUGUCUUUUAGUUCGCGUCCUCUGUCUAGGAUUGCAAUCUUAACCUUAAAGUUAGAAAAUUUUGCCACAAUCAGGCAAGGUCUGUUGGCAUCCUGCUCUUUGAGUCCCAUCCGAUGCACUCAUUCAAAUGCCAUUUCUUCGGCGGAGACAAGAUUGUCCCGCAUGCUCCUACAUCGGAGGACUGACAUGAUACGGUCUGCUUCUGUAAAUUCGUCGGUGUUUGAUCCUUCUUCUAUUUCACUGGAGACGCAACGAGAAAGAACCCUGUGUCAAGGGCCGCCAGUGAGAAAGAAGUAGAGGGCUACACAAUUCGCUGGCUGAAUUACUCAAGCGACCGAGGAGAUGGACGAAGGAAUAGGAAUAGGGAGUUUAGGCGUAACCAGAAUUAAACCAUAUUAAUCAACUUAUUUCUUUUUAGAUUUGUUGUUAAAUAUUAACCAGCAGAUAUAAUAAACAUUAUUAUUGUUAUUGCA